UACUAAUUAAAUUCCACUUGACUGGCCCGGUCCGCCAGUUUGAUCCUGUCUACUCCUAUGUCGGAAAGUUCAUUUGACGCAACAUAUUCUACAUAUUUAGAAUCAAAAUCAAUGACCAUCUGUUAUGUCGACAUACGCCAGUGCAAACUUUUUAGCCAACAGGUCAAUAAGAAGUGUCCGACCAUUGGGAGUCCUACAUCAGAGCCUCAAAAGACUUAGCACUUCGCAUUAUCAGAGCCGCAUGAGUAAAAUUACGGAACCCAAAUUUCAUGGGCUACCACAGAAGUCGGAAUCGCCAAUGGAGUCACUAAGCGAACAUGAACUUCCAGUU